rnacentral:lncRNA from 1 species
AUAUCCUAAUUGCUCAAAAAUGUUAUUUUAAACUUUAAUAUGUUUUAAAUGCUGUAAUUUCCUUUCUAAACAAUCAAAAGCCAUUUUCAGCUUGGGCCAGAAUAUUCUGCAUAAAUAACCAUUCACCAAAAAACUAUUUGCAUCUAGGACAUUCCUAGCAUUCCUAGGCCUGCACUUGGCUAGGGUAACCUAAAUACUAUUAAGAAUUGUAAAAGUUUUGAGAUUUUACUUUUACUGCAAGAUAAAGAAAUUUGUAAUCGUCUCAGACACAGUUUAGGAGUGUUUUAUGUUAAAAUUAUGGUGGCAGAGUGAAUGAUCUGGAUCCUGCUGCUUGAAGAAGAGUCAAGGACAAGCUUUAAAAUCAGGCCAUCUUUCUGGGAUUCAUAAAAGCAAGAACACAUAAAUGAGGACUAAAUUCCAUUAUGGCCAGUGGAAA